rnacentral:tRNA from 1 species
GAAUGCGAAUAUUGGUUGGUUUUGCAAAAGCUGAUUAGGGUUACGAUUUUGACUCCGUGUUUU